UGCUUUGCGCAGUGGCAGUAUCGUAGCCAAUGAGGUUUAUCCGGCGCUAUUAUUGCUAAUUGAAAACUUUUCCCAAUACCCCACCAUGACGACUUGAAAUAUAGUCGGCAUUGACAAUUUUUGACAAUCUCUACAGAGA
rnacentral:snRNA from 1 species